GAAGCCAGCAAGACAGUAUGGGUGCUUCUAAUUUGUGGUCUCCAGAGAGGAAAUUUUGUCUAAGAAUUUUUUUUUUUGAGAGAUCAGUUGGACAAGAACAUCCCUUCAAGUUACUAGAAGAAGAAUGGACCUUUUUGAUGUCACUGUUAUUCCAGAAAGAAUCUCUGGCAUGCUCCCCUCCAGCUAACGUCAGAAAGAAAAGGGGGCCCUUGCAAAUCACUCCAGCAAAAAAAAGUAAGCUAAACCAUUAUUGGUAAGUUGUGGUGAUUAUUUGAUAACACUUAUCCAUUUCAUAUCACUGGCAAGUGGGUCAAAAUAGCUACAUAGAGGUAAGGAACCUAAGAGAGAAAAACAUAGGCUCAAGCUUAUAUUCAAC
rnacentral:lncRNA from 1 species